rnacentral:lncRNA from 1 species
UUUUAUAAUAAUCAAUAAAAGUGGAUUUCUUUUCUCAUCUCGGGUUCAAAUCAACCCCUUUUUACGACCAAAAGGUCAAAGCUUCAUUAUCAUCUCAAUUCAUUCAAAUACAAAGUGUUUAUAACACAUGAUUUCUAAAAAAACGACAAUCUCAAUUAGAGUUCAAAACUCAUGUCUCAACAUCAUAUGAAAAUUUAUCAAGGUUCAAGCUUUACAUCAUAAACAUAUAUAACUUCCUUCAAAAUCUGGAAAUUUAGCCAUAAGGCACAAAAUAUCAUCAUU